UACGUAGGCAGCAAGCGUUGUUCGGAAUUACUGGGCGUAAAGAGUGUGUAGGCGGUGCUCUAAGUCUGUUGUGAAAUCUCCCGGCUUAAUCGGGAGGGUGCGGCGGAAACUGGAGUGCUUGAGGGUGGGAGAGGUAAGCGGAAUUCCUGGUGUAGCGGUGAAAUGCGUAGAUAUCAGGAGGAACACCUGUGGUGUAGACAGCUUACUGGACCACUUCUGACGCUGAGACACGAAAGCGUGGGUAGCAAACAGG
rnacentral:rRNA from 1 species